UCNCUUCUGCAGCACAUAUACNACAAUUGGAAUGGUACAGAGAAGAUUACCAUGCCCUACACAAAGAUGACACACAGAUUCAUGAAGCAUUCCACCUUUGU
rnacentral:snRNA from 1 species